ACCGAGUCUGUCCAAUGUUUAACCGUCCAUCUUAUUUAAAAAAAUUAUGAAAAAAAAGACUAAAAAUACAAGUCACGCAAGUAUUAAUCAUGUUUUAUCAUCUAACAACAAUAAAAAUACUAAUUAUAAAAAAAAUCAUAUAAGACGGACAGUCAAACGUUAGACACGAAAAUCUAGGGUUUGACUUUUU
rfam:Oryza glumipatula chromosome 2, whole genome shotgun sequence.